CUAUGCGCCUUGCCAGCCCGCUCAGGUGUGCCAGCCGCCGCGGUAAUACGUAGGUGGCGAGCGUUAUCCGGAAUGAUUGGGCGUAAAGGGUGCGCAGGCGGUCCUGCAAGUCUGGAGUGAAACGCAUGAGCUCAACUCAUGCAUGGCUUUGGAAACUGGAGGACUGGAGAGCAGGAGAGGGCGGUGGAACUCCAUGUGUAGCGGUAAAAUGCGUAGAUAUAUGGAAGAACACCAGUGGCGAAGGCGGCCGCCUGGCCUGUUGCUGACGCUGAGCACGAAAGCGUGGGGAGCAAAUAGG
rnacentral:rRNA from 1 species